UACGAAGGGUGCUAGCGUUGUUCGGAAUCACUGGGCGUAAAGCGCGCGUAGGCGGCUCGUCAAGUCAGAGGUGAAAGCCUUGGGCUCAACCCAAGAAUUGCCUUUGAAACUAGCGGGCUGGAGUGUCGGAGGGGAUAGCGGAAUUCCUAAUGUAGCGGUGAAAUGCGUAGAUAUUAGGAGGAACACCGGUGGCGAAGGCGGCUAUCUGGACGACAACUGACGCUGAGGCGCGAAAGCGUGGGGAUCAAACAGG
rnacentral:rRNA from 1 species